GGUCUGUAACAAAGAAGACGGCUCGUUAAUGGGUUUCAAGAGCAGUGACCAUACUGAGGAUGGGAGGUGAUUCUUUGCUUGAAGUGGUUGGUUGGAAACUCUGAAAAUAUUUUGGCCUCCCAUUUGAAGACAUACUUGGUGUUUAUGCUGAUAUGACGUAGACUGGGCUAUCUAUGAGAUGGAAAGUAAUACCAGCCCUGGAACAGGGAAGAUAUACAGGGAACAUUGGAAUCUUUGGAAAUCUGGAUCCUAAUAGAAUUGGUGGUACUGUUCUUCUACCGUGUAUUACUGUGAUAAUUUGUGUGUUGACUGUACGGGAGAUCUGAAUGUGAAUAAUCUUAUAUUGCAGUAGUUGGUAUAUUGUAUAUAUAAGAGACUGAGUAUGGGGCCAGUUUUACUUAUAUCAUAAAGAAUGUGGUCAACUGAAUAUUUAGACUUUUAUGAUGACAGUGAACAUUUUCAGAGUUGGGUAUUUGCUGUGACAAAGUAUUAAAGAUUCAUGAAAGAGACCCUGUAAAUGGAUGAUCAUUUCUGGUCUAGAGUACAAAAGAGUGGUUUGUUACCAACGUGACUGGCUUCAUAAUUAAUACUGUAAUACCAAUGAAUGUUAAUAGAAUUGGUCAAUUAAUUUGGCGGAGUCAUAACAGUAAUCUACUUAUGGAACGUUAUAGUUCAUCACCAGUAAAUUUGGAUUAACAAUCA